rnacentral:rRNA from 1 species
GAACGAACGCUGGCGGCAUGCCUAACACAUGCAAGUCGAACGCCCUCUUUUAGAGGGAGUGGCGCACGGGUGCGUAACGCGUGGGAACCUGCCCUUAGGUUCGGAAUAACUCAGAGAAAUUUGAGCUAAUACCGGAUAAUGUCUUCGGACCAAAGAUUUAUCGCCUUUGGAUGGGCCCGCGUAGGAUUAGAUAGUUGGUGGGGUAAUGGCCUACCAAGUCGACGAUCCUUAGCUGGUCUGAGAGGAUGAUCAGCCACACUGGGACUGAGACACGGCCCAGACUCCUACGGGAGGCAGCAGUGGGGAAUAUUGGACAAUGGGCGAAAGCCUGAUCCAGCAAUGCCGCGUGAGUGAUGAAGGCCUUAGGGUUGUAAAGCUCUUUUACCAGGGAUGAUAAUGACAGUACCUGGAGAAUAAGCUCCGGCUAACUCCGUGCCAGCAGCCGCGGUAAUACGGAGGGAGCUAGCGUUGUUCGGAAUUACUGGGCGUAAAGCGCACGUAGGCGGCUUUUCAAGUCAGGGGUGAAAUCCCGGGGCUCAACCCCGGAACUGCCCUUGAAACUGGAUGGCUAGAAUACUGGAGAGGUGAGUGGAAUUCCGAGUGUAGAGGUGAAAUUCGUAGAUAUUCGGAAGAACACCAGUGGCGAAGGCGACUCACUGG